UUCCAUAUAGUGUAGUGGUUUAGCAUUCCAGAUUUUCAGCAUCAUGAAUAUUCUGGCGACCCGGGUUCGAACCCCGGUAUGGAAA